AGGAGAGGCGGGGUGGAGAGGGUGCCUGCGGCCCUGUCUCUUUGUAGGAACACAUCCCAGGAAUGCCUGCAGCCUGUGAGAUGGCCGGCCACUGGAAAGCUACAUGUUUCCCACCAAGAUUCUGAAGAUGUGGCGUUGGGGACAGCCUGUAGCCCCAUUUUUCCAUGGCUCUACUGUUUUUUCCAAGUUCUCCUGUGACAAAAUUAUUUCAGAGUUAUGUCUUUGUACUCCUUUUUCUUUCCACUGACUCUAUUUCCAUGUAAUCAAAUCACCCAAGGGAUUCGGCUCGUCUAUAAGGUAAAGAAUGCCCCCAGGUUAUGGGACAACACACCCCAAAUGAUGAUCUGAGUUGCUAGAAAAGAAACCUGAGGCUGACAUUGAGUACGACAUCUUCUUUUUCACCACCCAGAGAAACUACAAAGAACCAGAUCCCUCUUCUCAACAUGAAUCCUUCUGUGUUCUUGGCACCUGAAGUUUCCAGGGUUUUUAGGUGACAGAUUUACCCAGGGGCAGAAGAUGCACUGGGGUCACAGGAGGGAGAUGGCCACUCCUAGGUGCUGAUUUGAUGUGAAAUGGACCACAGGCUAAAACUGAGUUCUGCCUGGGGUGGCUUGAAGCAGUACAGAAAGGUCCUGAAAAGUUAUGUUCUUCAUCUGUUUUGCACUGCUAUAGCAGAAUAAAUACCAUUGGGUAAUUUCUAGAAAA